rnacentral:rRNA from 1 species
UUAAAAAGCUCGUAGUUGGAUUUCGGAGUGGGCCAGUUGGUCCGCCGCAAGGUGUGUUACUGACUGGUCUGCUCUUCUUCGCAAAGACUGCGUGUGCUCUUUGUUGAGUGUGCGUAGGAUUAC